AACGAACGCUGGCGGCAUGCCUAACACAUGCAAGUCGAACGAUUGCCUUCGGGUGAUAGUGGCGCACGGGUGCGUAACGCGUGGGAAUCUGCCCUUGGGUUCGGAAUAACAGCUGGAAACGGCUGCUAAUACCGGAUGAUAUCGCGAGAUCAAAGAUUUAUCGCCUGAGGAUGAGCCCGCGUUGGAUUAGGUAGUUGGUGGGGUAAAGGCCUACCAAGCCGACGAUCCAUAGCUGGUCUGAGAGGAUGAUCAGCCACACUGGGACUGAGACACGGCCCAGACUCCUACGGGAGGCGGCAGUGGGGAAUAUUGGACAAUGGGCGCAAGCCUGGUCCAGCAAUGCCGCGUGAGUGAUGAAGGCCCUAGGGUUGUAAAGCUCUUUUACCCGGGAAGAUAAUGACUGUACCGGGAGAAUAAGCCCCGGCUAACUCCGUGCCAGCAGCCGCCGUAA
rnacentral:rRNA from 1 species